rnacentral:miRNA from 1 species
ACAUAGAAAGGAAGCUUCCUU